CUUAAUACAGAAUCGAAUGCUUCAAUUCCAUAUGGCG
rnacentral:antisense_RNA from 1 species